UACGUAGGGUGCGAGCGUUGUCCGGAAUUAUUGGGCGUAAAGAGCUCGUAGGCGGUUUGUUGCGUCGGCUGUGAAAACUUCACGCUUAACGUGGAGCCUGCAGUCGAUACGGGCAGACUUGAGUUCGGCAGGGGAGACUGGAAUUCCUGGUGUAGCGGUGAAAUGCGCAGAUAAUCAGGAGGAACACCGGUGGCGAAGGCGGGUCUCUGGGCCGAUGACUGACGCUGAGGAGCGAAAGCGUGGGGAGCGAACAGG
rnacentral:rRNA from 1 species